CCUACGGGGGGCUGCAGUGAGGAAUUUUGCGCAAUGGGGGCAACCCUGACGCAGCGACGCCGCGUGGAGGACGAAGUCUUUCGGGAUGUAAACUCCUGUCAGUGGGGACGAUAAUGACGGUACCCACAGAGGAAGCACCGGCUAACUCCGUGCCAGCAGCCGCGGUAAGACGGAGGGUGCAAGCGUUGUUCGGAAUUACUGGGCGUAAAGCGUACGUAGGCGGCAAGUUAAGUUCAAUGUUAAAGCCCACGGCUCAACCGAGGAGAUGCAUUGAA
rnacentral:rRNA from 1 species